CCAGAGACUGUGGGUUGAGGAGGAAUUGGAAGUUUGUCGGCUUAGACCUGGUGUCAUUCCAUCAGUGUUUAACUUCCCGGCUCAUCAUGGAAAAGUACGUGCCAGAAAGACCACGACCAAGCAGCCUUGAGAUCUUAGGCAGCGUCUCCCUGAGGUCCCUCUCUAUCUCCCCACACAUCCACCAACCACUGGAACACAUCUCCAAAGUUCUGCCGGGCCAGCUCAGCUUCCCCUCAGAAGAAGUUCCACCACCUGCCAGAUGAAGGAGCCUUUUGAGAGGCAGCUGGCAUCGUGAUUGGACAGUACUUUGGUCUGUUCCAAUCCAGCUUCAGUUCCAGAGACGGCAGGCGGGACGAGUCAACGGAGGCCUGGUGGACGAAGGCAUGCAGCUGAGUACAAUCCAGAAAACAACAGAGGAGGAGUGCAGCGACCAGAACACACAGAGUAGCAUCGUAUGUCUCUUAGAAAACAUCAUAGUAUAGCCUUUGGUAUGAAAAAACGCCAUCAUAUACAUCGUAUAUUGUACAAAUAACAGGUCAAAGGAAAGAGACAUCAACUGUAGAAUUGUAGUAAUUGUGGGCUGACUGAUUUACUGAUUAUCAGUAUUUUAUUUUUUACUGAUUUACGGUAAUAAAUACAUUUAAAAAUGG